rnacentral:tRNA from 1 species
GCUGAUAUGGCUCAGUUGGUAGAGCACACCCUUGGUAAGGGUGAGGUUCCCCAGUUCGAAUCUGGGUAUCAGCACCA